rnacentral:rRNA from 1 species
UACGAAGGGGCUAGCGUUGCUCGGAAUCACUGGGCGUAAAGGGUGCGUAGGCGGGUCUUAAGUCAGGGGUGAAAUCCUGGAGCUCAACUCCAGAACUGCCUUUGAUACUGAAGAUCUUGAGUUCGGGAGAGGUGAGUGGAACUGCGAGUGUAGAGGUGAAAUCGUAGAUAUUCGCAAGAACACCAGUGGCGAAGGCGGCUCACUGGCCCGAUACUGACGCUGAGGCACGAAAGCGUGGGGAGCAAACAGG